GACGAACGCUGGCGGCGUGCCUAAUACAUGCAAGUCGAGCGGACCGGAUUGGGGCUUGCCUUGAUUCGGUCAGCGGCGGACGGGUGAGUAACACGUGGGCAACCUGCCCGCAAGACCGGGAUAACUCCGGGAAACCGGAGCUAAUACCGGAUAACACCGAAGACCGCAUGGUCUUCGGUUGAAAGGCGGCCUUUGGGCUGUCACUUGCGGAUGGGCCCGCGGCGCAUUAGCUAGUUGGUGAGGUAACGGCUCACCAAGGCGACGAUGCGUAGCCGGCCUGGGAGGGUGACCGGCCACACUGGAACUGAGACACGGCCCAGACUCCUACGGGAGGCAGCAGUAGGGAAUCUUCCGCAAUGGGCGAAAGCCUGACGGAGCGACGCCGCGUGAGCGAAGAAGGCCUUCGGGUCGUAAAGCUCUGUUGUGAGGGACGAAGGAGCGUCGUUCGAAGAGGGCGGCGCGGUGACGGUACCUCACGAGAAAGCCCCGGCUAACUACGUG
rnacentral:rRNA from 1 species